rnacentral:rRNA from 1 species
CAACCUCAAAUUAGGUGAGACUACCCGCUAAAUUUAAGCAUAUUAUUAAGCGGUGGAAAAGAAACUAACAAGGAUUACCAUAGUAGCUGCGAGCGAACUGGUAUAAGCCCAGCACUGAAUCAUUAGUACUACUACUAAUGAAAUGUAGUGUUUAAGCAAGGUUUAUAAAAUAUCAAAGUAUUGUAUUUUGUCCAAGUCUACCUUGAAUGGGGCCAUAGUCCAUAGAAGGUGCCAGGCCUGUAGUGGCAUUUACAUACUUUGAAGAAACCUUUCUUUAGAGUGCAACCUUAAGUGGGUGGUAAACUCCAUCUAAGGCUAAAUAUGACCAUGAGACCGAUAGCAAACAAGUACCGUGAGGGAAAGUUGAAAAGAACUUUGAAGAGAGAGUUCAAAAGUACGUGAAACCGUUUAGGAGUAAACGGAAAAGAAGUGAAAAUUCGAAAAGAGAGAUUCACGUCCUCACGUAUGAUCACAUGUUGUAAUUUAUUAGGAUGGUAAAUUGGUUUUAUAUUCUUGUAAUAUAAUUCUAUUUGUUGCCUAAUAAUUCUUUAUGAGGUCACGGUGGACCGCACUUCUCUCUAAGUAGGACGUCGCAACCCACUAACUUUUAAUUUAUGUUCAAGUUGAAAGUUUGUUUUGUUAAAAAUAACUUGUUUAUUUUUUAAACAAUCAAGCUGCUUGAAACUUAUUACAUAGUUGGUGGUAUAAAACGAUAGUGAUAAGUCGCUUUUAAAAGCGUUUAAAAAUUAUUAUAAAUUGUUCAAUUGUUAAAUAAGUCCUUGACUGUUUACAAUUAAUAGUUUAUUAAUAAUUAUAUAUAAACUUGGCUUACAACACUAGUUAGCGACGCUACAGUUUCACUAACUUUUCCGACCCGUCGAAACACCCAAGGAGUCUAACAUGUGCGCAAGUCAUUGGGUUAUAAAACCUAAAGGCAUAACAAAAGUAAAAAAGUAUUACUUUUAUAAGGAAGGAUAGUUAUUAAUUAAUUUUAAUAGCUCGCACUUCCGGGGCGUUUAUUAGUCAUUGCGAUUAAAGGCGCACCAAGAGCGUAUACGUUGGAACCCGAAAGAUGGUGAACUAUGCCUGGCCAGGAUGAAGCCAGGGGAAACCCUGGUGGAGGUCCGUAGCGAUUCUGACGUGCAAAUCGAUCGUCAGAGCUAGGUAUAGGGGCGAAAGACCAAUCGAACUAUCUAGUAGCUGGUUCCCUCCGAAGUUUCCCUCAGGAUAGCUGGUGCCCAUGAUGAUACGAGUCUCAUCCGGUAAAGCGAAUGAUUAGAGGCCUUGGGGCCGAAACGACCUCAACCUAUUCUCAAACUUUAAAUGGAUGAGAGCUCUGGCUUGCUUAAAAAUGAAGCCAGAGAAUUGGAUCUAGGUACCAAGUGGGCCAAUUUUGGUAAUGUGGGAUGAACCAAACGCUGAGUUAAGGCGCCCGAAUCGACGCUCAUGAGACACCAUAAAAGGCGUUAGUUGCUUAAGACAGUAGGACGGUGACCAUGGAAGUCGGAAUCCGCUAAGGAGUGUGUAACAACUCACCUGCCGAAGCAACUAGCCCUGAAAAUGGAUGGCGCUGAAGCGUCGUGCCUAUACUCAGCCGUCAACGACAAAUCAGGUAAUUAACAAAUUGUUAAUUAUACUAUUAUGUCUUGACGAGUAGGAGGGUCGUGACGAUGAGCGCAGAAGGGUUUGGGCGUAAGCCUGCCUGGAGCCGUCGUCAGUGCAGAUCUUGGUGGUAGUAGCAAAUACUCCAGCGAGAUCCUGGAGGACUGUUGUGGAGAAGGGUUUCUUGUGAACAGCUGUUGCACAAGAGUCAGUCGAUCCUAAGCUCUAUGAGAAAUCUCAAGUUGAUGAGUACCAUUAAAUAAAAAAUAAAUUAUGUUGGUGCUCAUUGAGCAAAAGGGAAUCCGGUUCCUAUUCCGGAACCUGGCAGCGGAACCGUUUCAAAUCGGACCCUCGUACGAUGGUUCGUCGGGGUAACCCAAAAGGACCCGGAGACGCCGUUGGAAGGUUCGGGGAGAGUUGUCUCUUCUCUAUAAGCGUUCGAGUUCCCUGGAAUCCUCUAGCAGGGAGAUAGGGUUUGGAACGCAAAGAGCACCGCAGUUACGGCGGUGUCCGAAUCUUAACUUCGGACCUUGAAAAUCCGGGAGAGGGCCACGAGGAAACCCGCGCCAGAUCGUACCCAUAUCCGCAGCAGGUCUCCAAGGUGAAUAGCCUCUAGUCGAUAGAAUAAUGUAGGUAAGGGAAGUCGGCAAGUUCGAUCCGUAACUUCGGGAUAAGGAUUGGCUCUGAGGAUCGUGGCGUGCCGGGCUUGGUCGGGAAGUGGAGCGGUGUCAACGAGCCGGGCCUGGGCGAGGUACAUGACUUUGUUAUGGAACUGAGCUCGGUCCCGUGCCUUGGCCACCCACGGAUCUUCCUUGCUGUGGACACUUAAUUGUCUAGUUGCAGGUCUUGACCUGUAAACGGAUUGCUUGUCUUUUCGGCCGCCAUUCAACGAUCAACUCAGAACUGGCACGGACUUAGGGAAUCCGACUGUCUAAUUAAAACAAAGUAUUGCGAUGGCCCCAAAUGGGUGCUGACGCAAUAUGAUUUCUGCCCAGUGCUCUGAAUGUCAACGUGAAGAAAUUCAAGUAAGCGCGGGUAAACGGCGGGAGUAACUAUGACUCUCUUAAGGUAGCCAAAUGCCUCGUCAUCUAAUUAGUGACGCGCAUGAAUGGAUUAACGAGAUUCCCAAUCUGUCCCUACCUACUAUCUAGCGAAACCACUGCCAAGGGAACGGGCUUGGAAAAAUCAGCGGGGAAAGAAGACCCUGUUGAGCUUGACUCUAGUCUGGUACUGUAAGGAGACAUGAGAGGUGUAGCAUAAGUGGGAGGUAAUUGAAAGAUUACCAACAGUGAAAUACCACUACUCUCAUUGUUUCCUUACUUAUUCGAUCAGGCGGAAGGCGUCGGCCGAGGGUGUUAAACCCCGGUUAGACGGUCUUCUUGUGCCAAGCGUUGGGGUUGUCGGACGUCCAGCUAUAUGUUUUGGUCAUAUUAGUGAGCAUCUGAUUCCUUGUGUUUCAGAUUGUUCACUAUUUGUCAAUUCAUUUUAGUUGUGACAACCGUCAACAUAUUCCCCAACGUGAUCCGAUUCGAAGACACUAUCAGGCCGGUAGUUUGACUGGGGCGGUACAUCUGUCAAAAAAUAACGCAGGUGUCCUAAGGCCAGCUCAGCGAGGACAGAAACCUCGCGUAGAGCAAAAGGGCAAAUGCUGGCUUGAUCCCGAUGUUCAGUAUGCAUAGGGACUGCGAAAGCAUGGCCUAUCGAUCCUUUUAGCCUGAAGAGUUUUCAGCAAGAGGUGUCAGAAAAGUUACCACAGGGGUAACUGGCUUGUGGCGGCUAAGCGUUCAUAGCGACGUCGCUUUUUGAUCCUUCGAUGUCGGCUCUUCCUAUCAUUGCGAAGCAGAAUUCGCCAAGCGUCGGAUUGUUCACCCGCCAAUAGGGAACGUGAGCUGGGUUUAGACCGUCGCGAGACAGGUUAGUUUUACCCUACUGAUAAUAGUUUUUGCGGUAGUAAUCCUGCUUAGUACGAGAGGAACCGCAGGUUUGGACAUUUGGUACAUGCACUCGGCCGACAGGCCGGUGGUGCGAUGCUACCAUCCAUGGGAUUAUGCCUGAACGCCUCUAAGGCCGAAUCCUUUCUAAUAUGCAAUUAUUUAUAUAAGGACAAUGUUAGUCAAAAGGCUUAAACAACGUGUUUGUUUAGGUAGUCAAACAAUUGUUUGGCUAUCGCAUAUGCCUAUUGAGUUAAUUUACCCUUGUAUGGGGCGGCAUUAAACCUGAUUUAAUGACCGGUCCUGGUUAAUUAAUGUUCAAUGGGUUACCCCUUUAGGGGACUUUGACAACAUUGCCCGGAAUCGUUUGUAAACGACCUGAAAACUGAGCAGGGUGUUGUACUCGGUAG